rnacentral:rRNA from 1 species
GGGACACGUGGUAUCCUGUCUGAAUAUGGGGGGACCAUCCUCCAAGGCUAAAUACUCCUGACUGACCGAUAGUGAACCAGUACCGUGAGGGAAAGGCGAAAAGAACCCCGGCGAGGGGAGUGAAAAAGAACCUGAAACCGUGUACGUACAAGCAGUGGGAGCACAGAGCAAUCUGUGUGACUGCGUACCUUUUGUAUAAUGGGUCAGCGACUUAUAUUCUGUAGCAAGGUUAACCGAAUAGGGGAGCCGAAGGGAAACCGAGUCUUAACUGGGCGUUAAGUUGCAGGGUAUAGACCCGAAACCCGGUGAUCUAGCCAUGGGCAGGUUGAAGGUUGGGUAACACUAACUGGAGGACCGAACCGACUAAUGUUGAAAAAUUAGCGGAUGACUUGUGGCUGGGGGUGAAAGGCCAAUCAAACCGGGAGAUAGCUGGUUCUCCCCGAAAGCUAUUUAGGUAGCGCCUCGUGAAUUCAUCUCCGGGGGUAGAGCACUGUUUCGGCAAGGGGGUCAUCCCGACUUACCAACCCGAUGCAAACUGCGAAUACCGGAGAAUGUUAUCACGGGAGACACACGGCGGGUGCUAACGUCCGUCGUGAAGAGGGAAACAACCCAGACCGCCAGCUAAGGUCCCAAAGUCAUGGUUAAGUGGGAAACGAUGUGGGAAGGCCCAGACAGCCAGGAUGUUGGCUUAGAAGCAGCCAUCAUUUAAAGAAAGCGUAAUAGCUCACUGGUCGAGUCGGCCUGCGCGGAAGAUGUAACGGGGCUAAACCAUGCACCGAAGCUGCGGCAGCGACGCUUAUGCGUUGUUGGGUAGGGGAGCGUUCUGUAAGCCUGCGAAGGUGUGCUGUGAGGCAUGCUGGAGGUAUCAGAAGUGCGAAUGCUGACAUAAGUAACGAUAAAGCGGGUGAAAAGCCCGCUCGCCGGAAGACCAAGGGUUCCUGUCCAACGUUAAUCGGGGCAGGGUGAGUCGACCCCUAAGGCGAGGCCGAAAGGCGUAGUCGAUGGGAAACAGGUUAAUAUUCCUGUACUUGGUGUUACUGCGAAGGGGGGACGGAGAAGGCUAUGUUGGCCGGGCGACGGUUGUCCCGGUUUAAGCGUGUAGGCUGGUUUUCCAGGCAAAUCCGGAAAAUCAAGGCUGAGGCGUGAUGACGAGGCACUACGGUGCUGAAGCAACAAAUGCCCUGCUUCCAGGAAAAGCCUCUAAGCAUCAGGUAACAUCAAAUCGUACCCCAAACCGACACAGGUGGUCAGGUAGAGAAUACCAAGGCGCUUGAGAGAACUCGGGUGAAGGAACUAGGCAAAAUGGUGCCGUAACUUCGGGAGAA